UGGGUUCCAGUAUCUAAUUUUUUUUUUACUGACAAACUCAUUUCUCUACUGGGACAGGAUGGUGUGCUGGCUGGAAGUUCCAUUUCUACAGCAAGAAUCCUAUCUGGAAACACAGAAGUUGUCCUCUAGCCACAGCAGCUCGAACUUUUUUGAUUGUUGUUGCUGCUUUUCUCCCAUCACCCCCACCCCCUUUUGACAAAGAUCCAACUGUAAAAAGUCUUACGUAACAGUUCAGGACUACUUCGGUUCUUUUACUGGUAUAUCAAGAGGCCUCAACAGGACUAUGGAAACAUUUACAUCUCCAAACUAAAGCUAAGUGGGCUUCAAUAUUUUGUAGCACCUCUGCAAAACGACAGAAAGGAGUUACUAGGAGAAAUGCCACACGUCGAAGAAACCGGUGUGAAAAAGAAGAGCCAGGAGCUGGGGAGAGCCCAGGCAACUCCACCAAAAGGAAACACUGAUGGCUGCACUCAACAUUCAUUGCUGUCGGUGGGUUUGAGUCUGAAUCAACUCACUGAUCAAUGAAUGCAAACUGCGGACCAAACAACCCAAGGAGACAGGAAGGGAAAGAGAGAGAAUACUGACGUGAGAGGGAAACACUGACCAGCUGCCUCCCAUGCGCACCCGAACGGAGGAUCAAACCUGCGACCUAAGACUGGGGGUCAAACCCUCAACCUUCUGGUGCAUGACAUAAUGCUCCGCCCACUGAACCGCCCAGCCAGGGCUCAUGCCUUUUCAAACCUCUCAUCCCCCUUUACCAU